GCUGUUGUUUACAAUUGUCAGCUGUUGUUAGUUGUUGUUAGUUGUUGUCAGUUGUUGUUCGUGGUUGUCAGUUGUAAACAAUGCAUAACACAGUAUUUUACUCUUACAAAUACCAUAGCGCCAUGUUCACAGUUCGAUGUUAGGCAGCAAAAACAUAUACCACUUAUUUAAUUUCACAAAAACAAAACAGAAGCGCUAAUAAAUAAUACAUUACGAGAGCUUUCACUAUUAUUUUUCACUGUUGAUACACUGUGCUGCCAUCUUGAAUUAUGAUGUUGUCAUCAAGUCGGGGUUGGUGAGGAUCGUCCAACUUUGCGAGUCAGAAAUGCGGGGGGUGUUCCAGAUGAAUUUCCGACUUGGAGCUCGGAAAUUCAGACUUCCAAUUACAACUGGAAUGCAGAAAUACUACAUAGCUAUUGGAAUGAUGAUAGUCUGCCGCCAUGCUCAAUAAGGAACUGAAGAAAAGCUAUUAAAAUGCUCAGGAGUAUUGGACUUAAAAGAAAAAGAAGUUUACUCUUUGUGACUGAUUUUUACAUAUAAAGUCUGCGUAGUCCAGUAUCUUUUGUAUGUAUUGCAGAGGCUGAGAGACAAGCCUAGUGCUGGUCUCACAUGAAUAUGUUUGAUUGGAGCAGAUCUCUGUUGUACCAAAUGCUUUUGCAGUUAAAACGUCUUCAUUCAAAUCAAUAUUUUAAAAAGAGAGCAUUAGUAAAUUGUGAAUUCUGCAUGAGAAAAACCACAUUUACUGAAUGCUCGAGAGACCAUGAAUGCAAACUAAGUAAAAGAAGCUUAAAAUACGGAUAAAGAUGUUUGUUGUGUGCAUGACAUGUAAUGAGUCCUUUAAAAACAGCUUGACUCAGACGUAAUCUGUUAAUGGAGGUCCGAUUUAAAACAUUUCACUCUGCAGCACUGUGACCCUCAGAUGAAGUGCUCUGCUGAGUUACCGGGCAAGCAGGCCGUUGCAUGUCAUGAAGUAUUGAAAAGCUGCAGAUGAACUUUAGGUUUUGUAACAGAAAAGCCCAAAUGUCCCCAGAGAGACACCUACACACAGCCCCGGAGAGCAGUGUCUGUCUGCACACGCUGACACGGCAAGCACAGCCUGACUCACAGCAGCUCCACACUCCGUCUAAUGUACCACCUCUUCCUUUCACGGCACAUCAGCAUCAAACUGUUCUCAGAGGCACAACAAGGUUUGUGUACUCUUGCGUGUGAGGCUCUGUGUGCCAGUGAACUUGUGCACUUGUGGUUAUCUGCCCCAUUUAUCUUUUUUUUUCUUUCUUCCUUGUAGAUCCUCUGUGCACCCCUGUGUUUGAAUUAUUAGCACACUCAAAGUGCCGUUAAUGUAUCCGCCCAUCAUUUUCACAUUUUCAGAUUCCUAUCUGCCUGGAAGCUGGUGGGUGUGCGCUUACCCUGGGAGAACAUAACUGCGAGGAAUUGUAUGUUCCUGCCUGCUUCUUUCUUUGGGCUUUAGCUCUGAUGUUGGAGAAAAGGAGGUGAACAGCAGGUUAAAGUAGAGCUGGAGGCAAAAUUUUAACUAAUUAGGAAAACUUAGAAAUCACUGUUCACAGUCUAUGUUUGUAAGGGUUUGUGCAUCAACCUGGGAAGAAAUUUUGUUGUCUCAGAGUUCAAUACAUUUCCCUCUAAAGUGUGCAAAGUGCAACACCCCACAUCCCAUUCUUCAACACCUCAAAUCCUGAUUAUCCAGACUUAAGCUCUCACAAAAUCUCUUGCAUCGAACCCAUCUUUAGAGUAAACAAACCUGGAGGAUGACAGACAGGAAGCUAUGAAGGUCAUCAAGCCAAACAUUGCCAGCUGCUCAGUUACGUGGCACAUACCAAUUUCUAUUGAACUCCUCUUCUCGCCAAAUUAAUUGUGGAUUGUUUUACGGUACAGGUUAUGUAAACAUUUGUAUUGCUGCCUUGACACCCAGUAACUUUAUACUCUCUGUUGACUGUUGUUGCCAUGGCAGUGUUUGUUGUGCUUCCUUAUUUAGUCAACUUGCUUUCUGAUUGGCUGUUGUUUCCACAACAGGAAACAAUAGUUGCUGAGGCCGUUCCCCUAAAACACAGAAGAAUACAUGAUUGUGAAUGUUGGACAUGUCUGAUAUUAAUGCACAUUGGUGGAAGUGAAAUCGCCCACACACCUCACACCACAGGAUAAUCAGCAAAAUAUUAUUAUAGUUAUUGAGAAGAAUUAAGCGUUUGCUGACUUUUGUCCAGAAGGAGGAAUUGGGGCCCAAAUUGGCCUGGUUAGCUUGUAGUGAGUAAUCUGAGAUAAAUGAUUAAUAUACUGUAACACCAUUGUACUAAAUUUUUUGACAAGGAUGGGCAAAGACUAAAACAGCAUAAUACCUGUACUGUCAGCUGUAAGCAUGCAUGUGCCAAUUUUUUAAAGCCAACUAUUAUCAUAAACUUGAUCAAUGAGGCACUUUUUUUCUCAAACAGAGUUACAAAAGGCUCCACAACUUAAAAAAAAAGAAUAGAAACAGAAAUAGAAAUAGAAAUAGAGGUAUCAGAGAAGAGGAUGUCCUAGGGGUAACAUGUAAAUAGAAAACAAGAGUGGAUCCAGAGGUGACCCCUGAGGUACCCCACUGGACAAAUUAGCUCUGGAUGAUGUGAGUUUCCAUUAGCAACACAAAAGACUUUCCAGUUAGAUAAGAAUGACAAUAUUUAAAAGCCUAACCAGAGACACCAACCAAAAGGUGAAGGUGAUAAAAUCAUUAAAUGCAGUCUAAAAGAUCUAAAAUUCCCCAGGAUCCAAAGCCAUUUUAUUCUUUGGGACUGUAAUCCACAAGUUUCAUUGGUAUAAAGUAAAAAAAUAUAUAGACAAACUCGUGUAUUAUCACUAAUUAAAAAAAGCACAUUUUAUGUAGCCAG